rnacentral:rRNA from 1 species
AAAUCCCCGCAAGGGGAUGAGUAUAGUGGCGACCGGGUGAGUAACACGUGACUACCUGCCCUUGAGUGGGGGAUAACCUCGGGAAGCCGAGGCUAAUACCGCAUAAUAUCGCAAGAUCAAAGGAGCAAUCCGCUUUUGGAGGGGGUCGCGGCUGAUUAGCUAGUUGGUAGGGUAAUGGCCUACCAAGGCGAAGAUCGGUAUCCGGCCUGAGAGGGCGCACGGACACACUGGAACUGAAACACGGUCCAGACUCCUACGGGAGGCAGCAGUGGGGAAUUUUGCGCAAUGGGGGAAACCCUGACGCAGCAACGCCGCGUGGAGGAUGAAGCCCCUUGGG